UCAUCACAUCCUGGGGCUGAAGUAGGUCCCAAGGGUAUGGCUGUUCGCCAUUUAAGUGGUACGCGAGCUGGGUUUAGAACGUCGUGAGACAGUUCGGUCCCUAUCUGCCGUGGGCGCUGGAGAACUGAGGGGGGCUGCUCCUAGUACGAGAGGACCGGAGUGGACGCAUCACUGGUGUUCGGGUUGUCAUGCCAAUGGCACUGCCCGGUAGCUAAAUGCGGAAGAGAUAAGUGCUGAAAGCAUCUAAGCACGAAACUUGCCCCGAGAUGAGUUCUCCCUGACUCCUUGAGAGCCCUGAAGGAACGUUGAAGACGACGACGUUGAUAGGCCGGGUGUGUAAGCGCAGCGAUGCGUUGAGCUAACCGGUACUAAUGAACCGUGAGGCUUAACCUUACAACGCCGAAG
rnacentral:rRNA from 1 species